UACGUAGGGUGCGAGCGUUGUCCGGAAUUAUUGGGCGUAAAGGGCUCGUAGGCGGUCUGUCGCGUCGGGAGUGAAAACUCAGGGCUUAACCCUGAGCCUGCUUCCGAUACGGGCAGACUAGAGGUAUGCAGGGGAGAACGGAAUUCCUGGUGUAGCGGUGGUAAUGCGCAGAUAUCAGGAGGAACACCGGUGGCGAAGGCGGUUCUCUGGGCAUUACCUGACGCUGAGGAGCGAAAGUGUGGGAGCGAACAGG
rnacentral:rRNA from 1 species